GCGACAGUGGUAUGACGCUACGUCCGUUGGAUUAUGCCUGAACGCCUCUAAGGUCGUAUCCGUGCUGGACUGCAAUGAUAAAUAAGGGGCAAUUUGCAUUGUAUGGCUUCUAAACCAUUUAAAGUUUAUUAUUUAUAUUUUAAACGACAAUGGAUGUGAUGCCAAUGUAAUUUGUAACAUAGUAAAUUGGGAGGAUCUUUGAUCACCUGGUGCCAUGCUAGUUACAUAUGAAAACAUUAUUUAAUACAAUGACAAAGCCUAGAAUCAAUUGUAAACGACUUUUGUAACGGGCAAGGUGUUGUAAGUGGUUGAGCAGCUGCCAUACUGCGAUCCACUGAAGCUUAUCCUUUGCUUGAUGAUUCGA
rnacentral:ncRNA from 1 species